GCGCUCUGCGCAUGUGCAAUGCCCUUUCCUUUCUGUCUGGGCGGCUUUGUCUCACGCCGCAGGGGGUUGAAGACUCCGGCGCUACCAGGUCCCCGCAGCGGAGCUGAGGGCGGGGCCGGGGCUCAGAGUGGCCUGGGAUCAGAGACAGAUCCCUUGCAGUGAACAUACACAUAAUUUUCAAAGCAACCAAUAAGAAAGAAAUGUUUAGAUUCACUCAAAAAUAUCCCAGGUUCAUCAAGAUUAUGUCAGAGUCAUCGAUGGACAGGAGAUUCCUGGAGCUGUAACAUAUGGUCUCUUAUGACUUUUCUCUUACAACUUUCCCUGCUCGGGCUUUAUAGUUUCUACCCUUUCCCAAGAGCAGCAGAAAAUGAACAAGUUCAAGGUGAGUCAUUUAUUUAGCCUUUGUUUCACUUUGUGUAUGUGUGUUUAAUGUGUGUAUGUGUUUUUUUUUUAACUUGACUUGAA